rnacentral:rRNA from 1 species
CCUACGGGAGGCAGCAGUGGGGAAUAUUGCACAAUGGGGGAAACCCUGAUGCAGCGACGCCGCGUGAGUGAAGAAGUAAUUCGUUAUGUAAAGCUCUAUCAGCCGGGAAGAAAAUGACGGUACCUGAGUAAGAAGCCCCGGCUAACUACGUGCCAGCAGCCGCGGUAAUACGGAGGGGGCAAGCGUUAUCCGGAUUUACUGGGGGUAAAGGGAGCGUAGACGGCAGUGCAAGUCUGGAGUGAAAGGCGGGGGCUCAACCCCCGGACUGCUCUGGAAACUGUACGGCUGGAGUGCGGGAGAGGUAAGUGGAAUUCCUGGUGUAGCGGUGAAAUGCGUAGAUAUUAGGAGGAACACCAGUUGCGAAGGCGGCUUACUGGACUGUAACUGACGUUGAGGCUCGAAAGCGUGGGGAGCAAACAGGAUUAGAUACCCUAGUAGUC